CCACUAUGCUCCUUCUCUGAAACCACAUUUUAAAAAGAAUAGUCUAAGGCAUAGGAAAAAAAAAACUAGGUUAUAAAAUAGCAAUAUAUAAACUGGGCAUGGUGGCUUACGCCUAUAAUCCCAGCACUUUGGGAGGCUGAGGUGAGAGGAUUGCUUGAGGCCAGGAGUUUGAGACCAGCUUGAGCAACAUAGGGAGACCCUAUGACUCUAUUUUCUCUACAAGCAUGUGCCUUGGGAGGUCAAGGCUUCAGAGAGCCAAGAUCACACCACAGUACUCCAACCUGGGUAACAAAGUAAGACUCUGUCUCAAUAAAAGUAAAUAUUAAAGUAAAAAUAAAAACAAACCACAGGAAAAAAGGCCUGGGGUAAUCCCUCAUCACUGCAAAUUUACUAAUUAUUUAAUUUUGUUUUGUUUUGUUUUUGAAACAGUCUCACUCUAUCACCCAGGCUGGAGAGCAGUGGCAUGAUCUCAAUUCACUGCAACUUCUGUCUCCCGGGUUCAAGCAAUUCUCCUGCCUGCUCAGAGCCCUCCUGAGUA
rnacentral:lncRNA from 1 species